rnacentral:rRNA from 1 species
CGCCAGACUCCUACGGGAGGCAGCAGUGGGGAAUAUUGCACAAUGGGGGAAACCCUGAUGCAGCGACGCCGCGUGAGUGAAGAAGUAUUUCGGUAUGUAAAGCUCUAUCAGCAGGGAAGAAAAUGACGGUACCUGACUAAGAAGCCCCGGCUAACUACGUGCCAGCAGCCGCGGUAAUACGUAGGGGGCAAGCGUUAUCCGGAUUUACUGGGUGUAAAGGGAGCGUAGACGGCAUGGCAAGUCAGAUGUGAAAGCCCGGGGCUCAACCCCGGGACUGCAUUUGAAACUGUCAGGCUGGAGUGCAGGAGAGGUAAGUGGAAUUCCUAGUGUAGCGGUGAAAUGCGUAGAUAUUAGGAGGAACACCAGUGGCGAAGGCGGCUUACUGGACUGUAACUGACGUUGAGGCUCGAAAGCGUGGGGAGCAAACAGGAUUAGAUACCCCGGUAA